AACAAAGCGUUGCGUAGACCGGUGACAAACGUCACGAGUGACAUUCGCGACGUGUGUCUGGGGAUGAUUCAGCGAAGAUGGAUGUAAACAAAAGAAAAAGAAUUUUGUUCCCGCACGAAACCGCGAUGUGUGCGACAUUGCGGUGCAGUUUGCUUUAAUUUAUUUAUAAUUUUGUGUUGUUAAAAAUGUAAAUUGAAAAGCAGAUCCCAAACUAUCGCUAUCGUGGAGGUUUGGAACCAGCUGCUACGGGGCAGUGACUAGUAAGAGAGCAGAGCGGGCAAGUGUGACCUGGGCCUGGCGGAAGAAGACCAAUCUUUUAGCUCGGCAUGCACCCACAGAGAAACAGGGUGUCAGCUCAAAAGACUUCUUUUACUCGUCGCAACAUUCUAAAAGAUUGCGGUCGCCAUGAACCAGGAGGAAGUCGGUUCACACUGCCAGCUAUGGCUCUGGCUGGAUUCGGAGUGGAUGGUAAGUGGUGGUCACCAAGAGCGAGAUGGCAUCGUCGGUAUCAACGCUGCUCUGGAUCAUUCUUUCAUCCGACGACAAAGCCAAAAACCGUCCCAGAAGUUUCACCAGAGGAAGAAGUAGUCGUCGAAGGUCGCCAGCACAAGCGGGACAUCGUCCACCUCCGGCGGAGGGCUCGUUCGAGACUGGGGA